rnacentral:lncRNA from 1 species
AUAUUGCUAUAAAAUGGAUCCAAACUGUGUGUGGUUUUGGCCUACCGUCAGGGUAAAGCUUUGAAAUGCAAAAACUUUGAUUUUUGUGAGGUAUUUUUUACGAAAUUUUGACUUUAAAAACUCGGGAAGAGUCGGGUUUAUUUUCUAUAGCAGAACGUUUUUUUAAGAAUUUUCAAAGUUUAUAUUAUUUUGUUUAAGGUUUUUUUUUUGAGGUAGCGGUUUGUUUUUUCACACAACUAAAGUAU